UACGGAGGGGGCUAGCGUUGUUCGGAAUUACUGGGCGUAAAGCGCACGUAGGCGGCUUUGCAAGUUAGAGGUGAAAGCCCGGGGCUCAACUCCGGAAUUGCCUUUAAAACUGCAUCGCUAGAAUUGUGGAGAGGUAAGUGGAAUUCCGAGUGUAGAGGUGAAAUUCGUAGAUAUUAGGAAGAACACCAGUGGCGAAGGCGGCUCACUGGUCCGGUACUGACGCUGAGGUGCGAAAGCGUGGGGAGCAAACAGG
rnacentral:rRNA from 1 species